GUGGCCAGGGGCAGGCCGGGGCCGGGAGACUUGAGGGCAGGGAGGCUGUGACUCCCGCAGGGCCCGCGUGUGACGCCAUCCAGUCGUCAGAACCCACAGCACUCGCCACCCCCAGCCAACGUGGAUGGACGUGGAUUUUAAAACAGCACUAAGGUGAUCAGAGGGUCCCAGGGAGGGACACACUGUGAUACAAUCUGGGUCACAACUGGGCGAAACAAGGGCAGGGCCAGGCAGCCCUGGGCGGGAUGGCGCCUGAGGACCCACAGCACACAGCCACGUCGCCACGUCGCCACGUCGCCACGUCACACGUCAUCACGUCACCACGUCAUCACGUCACCACGUCUCCACCGUGCUCUGACGCAGGAGGGAGGCUGUUCCGCCACGUGUGAGUGAGCGGUUCUGAUGCCAGGUGCGGACGCCGGCGAGGGCACAGCACCGUCCCUCUCCAUGAGUGACGCCUCGUAGCCAGAAACACGGCCGCUGCCCGGAUCUUGGUCUCGUGUGUUUCUCCAGUACCAAGGGGCUCCUUGGAGAAACGGCCGACUCCGGGACCGAAACGGAAAGCGCUGGCUGAGCCCAGUCCCCCUGGACUGCCGGAGAACGAGGACUGAGCUGGGCACUCAGGCUGCACACAAACCCACGGGGAUGGAGGUGGGACUGAGGGACACAGGGAGGACAGCGGAGCAAGAAAAGAAACAAAGUGGCAUUGGAUCACACCCCAAGUCCAAAUAAGCACCCGGAGGCCAGGCUGGAGUAUGACGGAGCAAGUUAAUAAGUGGGCCGGAAGGGGCGAGUCUCCCAGGAAGGAUUCAGGGCUGUGUAGGUGCCCCACCCUCCAGAGGACAGCCGCGUCCCCACUCCUGCGCUGCACGCUCCAUGCCGACCACUCCAGAGGGCACACUGGGGACCGGGUAGGGGACCCUGACUUCAUGGUGGAGAAGCCCCCAGACACCACCUCAGCCAACCCAAAACCUGGGCCCUGCAGGUCCCGUGUGGGGAGAUGACACUUUUCCUCUGUGGCCUCCGUCCCCACACCAGGACCCUAGUCUCGCCAUGAGAAAAAACGUCACACACACACCCACACCCACACCCAAGGCCGUUCUACAAUAUGCCCAGCCACACUCCUCCAAACCGUCAAGGUCAAAAACAAGGAAGGUCAGACACUGUCACAGCCAAGAGGAGCCUAAGGGACACAAGGAGUGUUGGGGUUUAGAUAUGAGGUGUCCCCAAAAGCUCACACGUGAGACCAUGCAAGGAAGCUUAGCGCUGAAGUGACCCGUGACCAGAGCCUCGACCUCACAGCGCAUUGACCCACUGUCAGGAAUGAACUGGGUGGGAACCGCAGGUCGGGUGGGACCCAAGAAGUAGGUCACCGGGGGUGUGCCUCUGGGGCUUAUAUUUUGUCACCAGGGAGCAUAGUUCUCUCCUGGUACCAUGUCCUGAGUUGCUUUCACCCUCCAGGCCCUUCCACCAUGAUGAUCUGCCUCGUUCCAGCUCAGAGAUCUGGACUCGCCAUCAGUGGACUGAGACCCUGAAACCACAAGCCAAAAUAGGCCUCCUCAGCUGUUCUUUCUGGGACUUUUGGUACCAGUGAUGGAUGGACGGGUGGAAAGCUGACUGAACAAAGACUAAACAUAACGUGGUAUCCUGGAUGCAACCUAGGAAAGAAAAAUAUCACCACAUAGAAUCUGAAGAAAUCAGAAUAAAGCACGGGCCAUGGUUCAUAA